AAUGAACGCUGGCGGCAUGCCUAACACAUACAAGUCGAACGAAGGCUUCGGCCUUAGUGGCGCACGGGUGCGUAACGCGUGGGAAUCUGCCCCUUGGUUCGGAAUAACAGUUAGAAAUGACUGCUAAUACCGGAUGAUGACGUAAGUCCAAAGAUUUAUCGCCGAGGGAUGAGCCCGCGUAGGAUUAGCUAGUUGGUGUGGUAAGAGCGCACCAAGGCGACGAUCCUUAGCUGGUCUGAGAGGAUGAUCAGCCACACUGGGACUGAGACACGGCCCAGACUCCUACGGGAGGCAGCAGUGGGGAAUAUUGGACAAUGGGCGAAAGCCUGAUCCAGCAAUGCCGCGUGAGUGAUGAAGGCCUUAGGGUUGUAAAGCUCUUUUACCCGGGAUGAUAAUGACAGUACCGGGAGAAUAGGCUCCGGCUAACUCCGUGCCAGCCGCCGCCGUAA
rnacentral:rRNA from 1 species